UCUCAGCACCUUUGCUAAAGCAAUUGGAUACUGUCACGUUUAGUUGAGACUGGGCCACCGAGUCUCCAUAGAAAUCUCCGCGGAUCUCACCAGAUUUGACCCAUAGAGGAUGAGAAUUAGAAUAUUGUACAGAAGGCCUCAAGCUCAGAUUAAAUUACAGGAGAAACCCAGAAACAGUUAAUCAAAUGUUAA
rnacentral:lncRNA from 1 species